CAUAGUCAUUAUACUGUUAAGCUAACCGCACUGACCGCACUACCCAGCAGACAACAACAAUCCAGUUUUUUUAUUUAUUCACUGGCCUGAACCGAAAAGAGGAACCCCGUAGGAAUCGAUGGGAUGUUGAUCCAAAAAACUCUUUAAGCUAAUGUCUCUAUCGUUCUUGGUCCUGAAAGUUCCAGAAAAAUAUUCGGCGCCCCAAUCGAGCAGGAAUUUUAUGGCGCAAUGUCCACAGAAGGCAAUGGUGCGCAUUCUCACCCUGGCCAGGGGCUGGCAUCCUAGAUAUAUGUACAAAAGUGGCCACUGCCCACCGUGUUAUGCAUGGGAGAUGCUGCAGCUUACACCGUGUUAGUAAAGAAAAUGUUUAAAAUAAAAACUUAAAGCUA